CAGUAGCCGCGGGAAUACGGAGGAUCCAAGCGUUAUCCGGAAUCAUUGGGUUUAAAGGGUCCGUAGGCGGUCUUGUAAGUCAGUGGUGAAAGCCCAUCGCUCAACGGUGGAACGGCCAUUGAUACUGCAGGACUUGAAUUAUUGGGAAGUAACUAGAAUAUGUAGUGUAGCGGUGAAAUGCUUAGAGAUUACAUGGAAUACCAAUUGCGAAGGCAGGUUAAUACCAAUUGAUUGACGCUGAUGGACGAAAGCGUGGGUAGCGAACAGGAUUAGAUACCCGGGUAGUCCCUGUCUCUUAUAC
rnacentral:rRNA from 1 species